GCUGGGCAUGGUGACUCAUGCCUGUAAUCCCAGCACUUGCUACUAGGGGAGGCUGAGGCAGGAGAAUCGCUGAGGCAGGAGAAUGGCAUGAACCCGUGAGGCGGAGCUUGCAGUGAGCCGAGAUCGGGCCACUGCACUCCAGCCUGGGCGACAGAGCAAGACUCUAUUUCAAAAAAAAAAUUAGACUCUAUUUUUGAAAUAGAGUCUCGCUCUGUCGCCCAGGCUGGAGUGCAGUGGCCCGAUCUCGGCUCACUGCAAGCUCCGCCUCACGGGUUCAUGCCAUUCUCCUG
rnacentral:SRP_RNA from 1 species